AUCGCUUCUCGGCCUUUUGGCUAAGAUCAAGUGUAGUAAUAUAUUUAUAUAUUACUCCUCUUUCUCUGAAUUAGACUUUAAACUUCUAGCAUAGCGAGGAUUAUAGAAUUCUUUGUUAUUCCAGUGUCUCAUCAUGUGUUCUUCACAGC
rnacentral:snRNA from 1 species